rnacentral:rRNA from 1 species
UAGUCCACGCCGUAAACGAUGAGUGCUAAGUGUUAGAGGGUUUCCGCCCUUUAGUGCUGCAGCAAACGCAUUAAGCACUCCGCCUGGGGAGUACGGCCGCAAGGCUGAAACUCAAAGGAAUUGACGGGGGCCCGCACAAGCGGUGGAGCAUGUGGUUUAAUUCGAAGCAACGCGAAGAACCUUACCAGGUCUUGACAUCCUCUGACACCUCUGGAGACAGAGCUUUCCCCUUCGGGGGACAGAGUGACAGGUGGUGCAUGGUUGUCGUCAGCUCGUGUCGUGAGAUGUUGGGUUAAGUCCCGCAACGAGCGCAACCCUUGUCCUUAGUUGCCAGCAUUCAGUUGGGCACUCUAAGGAGACUGCCGGUGACAAACCGGNGGAAGGUGGGGAUGACGUCAAAGUCAUCAUGCCCUUAUGACCUGGGGCUACACACGUGCUACAAUGGCGGUUACAGUGGGCAGCUACACAGCGAUGUGAUGCUAA